AGAGUUUGAUCAUGGCUCAGGAUGAACGCUGGCGGCACGCUUAACACAUGCAAGUCGAACGGAGUUAUUUUGAGUUUACUUAGAAUAACUUAGUGGCGGACGGGUGAGUAACACGUGAGCAACCUACCUUAGAGAGAGGGAUAGCUUCUGGAAACGGAUGGUAAUACCUCAUGACAUACAGGGACCGCAUGAUCUUUGUAUCAAAGAUUUAUCACUCUGAGAUGGGCUCGCGUCUGAUUAGCUAGAUGGUGAGGUAACGGCUCACCAUGGCGACGAUCAGUAGCCGGACUGAGAGGUUGAACGGCCACAUUGGGACUGAGACACGGCCCAGACUCCUACGGGAGGCAGCAGUGGGGAAUAUUGCACAAUGGGGGAAACCCUGAUGCAGCGAUGCCGCGUGCACGAAGAAGGUUUUCGGAUUGUAAACUCCUGUCUUAAAGGACGAUAAUGACGGUACUUUAGGAGGAAGCUCCGGCUAACUACGUGCCAGCAGCCGCGGUAAUACGUAGGGGAGCGAGCGUUGUCCGGAAUUACUGGGUGUAAAGGGAGCGUAGGCGGGAUCGCAAGUCAGAUGUGAAAUGCAUGGGCUUAACCCAUGAGCUGCAUUUGAAACUGCGGUUCUUGAGUGAAGUAGAGGUAAGCGGAAUUCCUGGUGUAGCGGUGAAAUGCGUAGAUAUCAGGAGGAACACCGGUGGCGAAGGCGGCUUACUGGGCUUUUACUGACGCUGAGGCGCGAAAGCGUGGGGAGCAAACAGGAUUAGAUACCCUGGUAGUCCACGCCGUAAACGAUGAGCACUAGUUGUUGGGUCCGAAUGGAUUCAGUGACGCAGUUAACGCAAUAAGUGCUCCGCCUGGGGAGUACGGUGGCAACACUAAAACUCAAAGGAAUUGACGGGGACCCGCACAAGCAGCGGAGCAUGUGGUUUAAUUCGAAGCAACGCGAAAAACCUUACCAGGGUUUGACAUCCUUCUGACCGGUCCUUAACCGGACCUUUCUUCGGACAGAAGUGACAGGUGGUGCAUGGUUGUCGUCAGCUCGUGUCGUGAGAUGUUGGGUUAAGUCCCGCAACGAGCGCAACCCUUGUCGUCAGUUACUAACAUUAGGUUGAGGACUCUGACGAGACUGCCGAGGUUAACUCGGAGGAAGGUGGGGAUGACGUCAAAUCAUCAUGCCCCUUAUGUUCUGGGCUACACACGUGCUACAAUGGUCGGUACAAUGAGAAGCAAGAUGGCGACAUGGAGCAAAUCACCAAAACCGAUCUCAGUUCGGAUUGCAGGCUGCAACUCGCCUGCAUGAAGUCGGAGUUGCUAGUAAUCACGGAUCAGCAUGCCGCGGUGAAUGCGUUCCCGGGUCUUGUACACACCGCCCGUCACACCAUGGGAGUUGGGGGCGCCCAAAGUUGGUCAGUUAAUAGAUUACCUAAGGCGAAACCAAUGACUGGGGUGAAGUCGUAACAAGGUAACCGUA
rnacentral:rRNA from 1 species